rnacentral:rRNA from 1 species
UACGAAGGGGGCUAGCGUUGUUCGGAAUUACUGGGCGUAAAGCGCGCGCAGGCGGUCUUCCAAGUCAGUGGUGAAAGCCCGGAGCUCAACUCCGGAACUGCCAUUGAAACUGUAAGACUUGAGGAUGAGAGAGGUGAGUGGAAUUCCCAGUGUAGAGGUGAAAUUCGUAGAUAUUGGGAAAGAACACCGGUGGCGAAGGCGGCUCACUGGCUCAUUACUGACGCUCAGGCGCGACAGCGUGGGGAUCAAACAGG